rnacentral:rRNA from 1 species
UACGGAGGAUGCAAGCGUUAUCCGGAAUUAUUGGGCGUAAAGCGUCCGCAGGUGGCUCAUCAAGUCUGCUGUCAAAGGCAGGGGCUUAACCCCUGAAAGGCAGUGGAAACUGGGGAGCUAGAGUGCAGUAGGGGUAGAGGGAAUUCCCGGUGUAGCGGUGAAAUGCGUAGAGAUCGGGAAGAACAUCGGUGGCGAAGGCGGUUCUCUGGGAAUAUCCUGACGCUGAGGAGCGAAAGUGUGGGGAGCGAACAGG